GAGUGCGCCGCAUCCCCAGUAGCGGCGGCGGCGGCGGCGGCGGCGAGCGCCGGGAAUGCCGUACAUCUGCACCAGCAAAAUAUGCUCCCUGCAAAGACAUUACCAGCACAGCAAAGUGUGGGAGACACUGCCAUAAUUUUAAGCGUGAAAACUGCCCCAUCUCUCCUGCCUGCAACGAAGAAUUUUGUGAGAGAAACUGACAGUGGAGGUGACCUGAUCCCUGUCUCCCACUUGAACGCCUCAGACAAGCUGCAGCUUUUGAGCUUAGUUACGAAGAGGAGGAAGUUCUGGUGCUGGCAGAAGCCCAAGUAUCAUUUCUUGACAGUCACCCUGAGUGAUGUGCUUACUGAAGACAAACCAAUAAAACCAGUGAUUGUGGAGUCUGACUUUGCAAAAUAUAUGGGGAAGUUUGAAGAUUUUGUUCAAGGAAGUAUUGAAACAUCGUUUGUGAAGUUCAGCCUGGGAGCUGGAGGGAAAGGUUACGUGGAAAACCAGUCCUCAUUUGGAAACCUGAGGAAGCAGGAGGUUGACUUGCAGCAGCUCAUGAAAGAUGUCAAGGACAGAACAAUAGAUCUAAACAGUAGUUUGCUGCAACAAGUAAUAGAAAGAAAACGUGAAGUGUUGUGCAUCUUGAGAGAAAAGAUAAUCACAACUCAGAGGUGUACAAUAUCUGAACAUAUCCAGACAGAAGAGAAAGUCAGUGGUGUGGUGGGAUGCACUGCAAAAACAAUAAAGGUUUCAGUAAGUGAGAAUGGAAGUCUGAUGAAGGAUUCUAGCGUGAUCCUUGAAAUUCCUCCUGCAACCACUAUUGCCUAUGGUGUAAUUGAACUGUUUAUAAAGCACAAUGGCCAGUUUGAGUUCUGUCUGCUAGAUGAACAGCAAGGAGGCUUUGAAAAAGAAAGUACAGAAGGCUCAGCUUCUCCCCAUUCAGUUCAAUUCAGAGAUGCUUCGUUCCUCUAUCAGCCAGAUGCUGUUGAUAAUGAGAUGUACUCUGGGGCUAAAAACCUCGUUCCCAGUGAUGCUUCUAUAACUAUAUUGAAACAAGAUCUGUCACGGUUGAAGACCCAGUUCCAGCCCUUUGUGAAGCUUCCUGAAGACAAGCAAAGAGCUUUAUAUAAAACCCUUUGUGAACUCUUGCUCCAUGAGGAAAUGGUGACUGCCCUGGGGGACAUGUUCGAUGAUAUCUGCACAGGAGACAAGCCAGAUCUGGAGGAGUUAAAACUUGAAGAACAAAGAGACCUCCUUGACUUCUUGCAGCUCUUAGGGUGCAGUUUAAAGAGUGAGCUGUUGUUGCAGAAAUGUCAGCCUCAGGAUGAAGAACUUUUCUCAGCUGCUCACCUUCUUAUCAGUGCUAUAUCUGAGCUGCCUGAUGACACCCUUGCCCUGCUGCGUGCCUGCUGCGAUCUUCAGCUUGUUCCAGCCUUGUGUUGUUUGCCUAACGUCGCUUCAGCCGAUGGCACUGUGGCGCUGAGCAGUCCUUUGGUGGCCACUCUGGCUGACAGAGGAAGAUUUGAGGUCGUGCAAAGGCUGUUUGCCUCAUCAAACAUUAAUCUGGAGAUGACAGAGUCUUCUGUAAGAGCUGUAACCAUGAAAGAACCGAGAUUCUUCCCACUUGUUCUUUAUGUUGCACUGUAUGGAUUUCAUGCUUUAGGUGGGAAUGUAUAGGAGCUGUACUGAGUAUUCAGUUUUUGCUGUAGCCUGUUGCUUCUUUUGUAGCUCUGUGAUUUUGGUGUGUUUGGGAUCAGCAGUAGAGCUGUUCUGUUAGUACUUAAGGCAGCACAGCCAGGAAUUAGGUGAUCAGGGACUCUGCAGUCUCAGUGGAAAGUACAUAAAUAAGGGAUGAAGGGGAGAAAUUAAAAAAGAGAGCCAUGGGAGAGAAGCUGAACAUAGCUGCUCUGGUAGGUGUCAGAUCUGCAGGGCAGUGAAAGCCUGAUUGCUUGCAUUAAUAUGCAUGGGAGAAAGCAGCUAAGUACAAACUGCUUUUUGUAAGCAAGCAAACAGGCAGACCCUGGAAACCCAGGGUUCUGCAAUGCAGCAACUGCUUUUCUCCUUAAGCCUGGGUGUGCAGAAUGCCUUCACUCUGGAGCAAGUGCAAUGGAGGGCUCUCGAAAGGUGAAGCUACAUCACAGCCGUCACCAAGCUGGGGUUUGUUUUUAGGCCUGUACCAGUAAAUCCCAGCUACAGUACCAGCAAAUGAACUGAGAAUUCAGCAGCUGACAAUGUGACUGUGGAACAGGAUCCCACUGCAGAGAACUCAGGUAAUUCAGUAGACACUGCCUGAAUUGUUUGCAGCAUUGACCCCGAAGUUUUAUUUAUAUAUGUAUAUAUAUGGGUGUUUGUGUGUGUGGGCACAAGCACGCUUUUAAUAUGAUCAGAAGCCAAAGCUGCCUGUAAAAUAACCAAAACUGAUUAUUUUACAAGUGUUUUCUAUUUUUAUUUUUAGGAUCUGUCUUGGGCCUAAAACCAGUAAGUUAUACAAGUCCUAAAUACUGAUGUUUUUGUUAACUACUAUUUCCUCUGUAAGACACAAGUUGAGAAUCCCAGACAAUUUCCACUAGCCUGUUAAACAUAUGUGAAAACUAAGAAGUACAGGCCAAAAAAAGAAGAAACCCAGGGAAAACAAAAGGAAGGGCCAGGACUUCACUUCAGCACUGUCAGUCACAACAGUCCACCAGAGAAAGUAAAUUAAAGUAGCCUUAAGGAUAGAACCCCUCUCAGUGGCCCAGGAGAAGUUUUUAUUGCAGGGAGAGGAGGGUGCUGGGAGCUGAGGGGUAUUUAAGGCAAGAGGCCCAGCAGACUGCGAGUCUUUGAUCCAGUACCCACCACACAGACACCAAUAAAAUCAUCUCACCACUUCUGCAAAGUAGCAUCAUGAAUUUUGGCAAUAACCAUGUGGUACUUGAACUCUUUGGACUUUGGGUGAGGCAGGGAACCCUGCAUGAAGCAAAGAGCCUGUACAGAUGUGCAGGACAUGGGACAGAGCCCAGCUGUUGGUUAUCCCAGAGCUGCCCCCACAGGCACAACGGGCAGCGGGGCAGCUGCUGCAGGAGGCACUGUCCAUGCACUGGGACACGGCCUCAAGGUUCAGUGGGAGCAGAGAAGCAACAAGCUCCAGGAAGCCUGGCUGGGAAACCAUGGGAGAGGUGAAGGGAGUUUAUGUUCACAAGAUAGGCUCAUGUGUAAGCACAGGUAAGAACCCAGUUCCCAAUCUCUGGAGCGCUCUGCUUGAUCGCUCUCCGCUGGUCCUUGAGCAUUGCAGAGGCCCACUGGGCUCAAGGGGGUACCUAGCCAGGGAUUUUCUGUGUUUCAAAGAGAAAGAAGCUUCCUAUUUCUUAGCUGAAUCACCCUCUUCAAAAAACAAACCCAAACCCAGGUGACUUCCUGAGCGCUGAGCUGCAGGCAAUUUGUAAGCAAGUCACUUAGGUAGGAUUUUAGAAGAUGCAGCGAGUAGAGAGGAUGAAAGAAAACAACGUCACAGUUUGAGCUCAGCCAAGAUGUGACCAUUUAUAUAAACAGAAAUUCAAAAGCGAUGAGCUGAUCUGCCAUCCUGCUCCACAAAGCUUUUGUACAACUAAGUACACAGAGCUGCCCUGAGCCGAGAACACGGCACAAGUCACAGAUACUGCCUUGGCUAUGAACUUGAUUUUCCUUGCCUAUCUGUGAUUCUGCUCCAUGUUUAUCUUUGUUGCAAAGGUUUGCAGAACAUUUUGAAAGACCUUUAUAAAUCUAUGCAAGAUGAUGUAUUCCAUUAUAAUUAUCCCACUAAACUUGGACUGCAUCUUGAUGCAGAACCUAAAGCAGACCUGCUAUAACACUUGGAGACAGCAAGGUCAUCACCUGGGUACACAAUGCACCACAGUAUUUACAGGAGAGUUGAGACUGGUGCACACUUAAGUGAAUUUUUGGUGAAUUCAGGGAAAUAACUUACAGGUCUUGGCAUACCGACUGUACUUCUAUGUAUAACUUUUCAUUCACGGGGCAACUACAGUGUUUCUUCUAUAAGUCUCUAUAUGUACAGAAUUUUACAGCACCUCAUGCACUGUCCAAAACAGAUAGAAAUUACAGAUAAAUAUAGGUUUUUUUUUUAGAUUGAAAUAUCUGUAUAUUUAGAAAAAUAUACAUUAGUAAACACAAUAAACCAGGUAGAGAAGUGUACCAGUUCUAAAGUCUCACAUGCAGGUAACAUUUCUGGAUUAAGUCGUGGUAGCUUAGUAAUGUGAUAACCAACAUGAGCAUUUUUUGUUUUACCAUCCACAUACAUAUACACAGACAACUAUUUGAUAAUUUACUUUUCCUAAACUACUUAAAUAUUUAUCUUGUGAUACAUACCACAUAUCUUAAACAUUUAGCAGCAUCUUCACCUCGCUCAGACACACCUAUUGUACUCUUUAACAGUCAAUGUAAUGUUUUCCUGUUAGAAUCUGGAAAAUGAAUGUUUAGUACAGAAUGAGAUAACAUGAAAUCCCAGUUAUUUUAACUCCUCCAAAAAGCUCCAAACAGGUGUUUUAUGAAAUGUUUUUGCUUGCUCAAAAUGAGCCUCUCAUAGUGUCUUCUCCCCUAAUUGCACAAUGUACAACAGCUGAUGCAGCACACCCUGGCAGGUAGGGACCGUCACAGCUGUGGACGUGACUGAAACAACACCAGCAUUUCAAGAACCUCCAAGAACAUUCCUUUUAAAAAAUAGUAACUGUUUUUCUCAUUCCAGUCAUUCUACCAGGUGGGGACAAACUAAGCAAAGUAUCUGAUGAAAAUCUGACUAUGCCAAAACCCAAAACUACCACAAAGAAACAAAGCAACCUCCCUCCCCCUCUCACCAUUAAACAAUCCAAUGCGAGCACUCAAGCUUUAACACACAGAUGCACAGGGUGUGGUGUUUGGGUUUGGGUUGUUUUCCCCCCCAACCUGGAACACAGACAACCAAAUCAGACCUGCAGAUACUUCCACACCAUCUUUGUGCCAACCCAAGCAAGUCACCUUCUCUUACUGCUUCAGAACUGCACUGCAGAAUUGCUCACUGCCAUCUACAUCAUCACCACCACCACCCAAAGCUCAGCCACAAUACCCCACCUCCUGACUUAAACCCACAGAGUGAACCUGAAGCAAACAUUCAAGCUUUAGGCUUUAGCAAAUACGUGACUAUUCUGGAGACUGCUAACUAGGGAGACUCUUGACAGUAUUCUCCCUGGGAUGGAAACAGAAUGAGCAGAGAGAAGCUUUCCUGACUACACCUUGGUGGCUGUGUUUCAUGUGCUUGGUUCAGUAAAUUUACAGAAAAAAGAUGAAAAUAAGUGAUGUCUGCAAUAUGAAGUACUGAGGUGUGUAAACUGAAGAAUCUUCUCAUUCAUUCAUUGGGGAAGAGUGAAGUCAGCCCACUUUUGGCAUCAGAAAGAAGGGUAUAUUUCUAACUCAUAAUGAGAAGGCAUCUUAUCUGUCCAGACAGCCUAUCUUAUUUACAGCAUAUGGAGGACUCCCAUGACACAGUACACAAACACAGUUCAGCCAUGUUCAGCACAGUGCCAAAAGCAAACCACUGAAAUAGCCAAGCAACAGCCCUGCUGUCAUUUGCUGCUACACACCACACUCCAUCCACUUCUCAAAGCAGCUUCUGAGCAACAGGAUCACAGAACGUGUCUCCUGGGAAAGAAAACUGCAAGUCCCAUGCUGGUGCCACAACUGAGAGCUCUGCCAAACUUAAAAAAAAAAAAAAAAACAGAGAAAACACAUCCUGGAAAGCAUAACAAUAAAAAAGCAGUGGUACAAAUUUUCCUUAGAGAAUUUCAUAUUCCCUCUGAAAAACAUUUUGAAAACUCAGUAUUAAGUGCCAGGAAGAUCUCCUGUGCUACACACAAGUUUAACUAACAUUUUCCACACACACACUGGGAUUUCAAGCCUCCUCUGUCCCUCUUCCCCCACAACAACCAACUUUACAGGCUGUGUAAAAACCAUCUGUUGCAUACGGGUGUUUUGAGGUUUUUUCAAACAGUUUUCUUCUACUGCAUCCACUCAACUUUUUCUUUUC